UCAACGCGCUCUCUCUCCUGACUCUAUCGCCCUUUCUUCGUUCAUCUCUCCCGUUCUCUCUCCUCUCACAUUUCAAUUUUUUGAAAUGUCUGCUCCUCAGAUCUCUCCCAUUAACCUAUCCACGGCAUAAUCAUCGGAGAGUUUACAGGCAUCUUAGGGAGCGCCUUACAGAUCUUUUCUAAACCUUUGUUCGCUGGAGCAGCGGAGAGGAGAGAGGCGAGGAUGACAACGAAGUCGGCGGCCACCGUAUUCUCCACAGCUUCCUUAGCGCAGCCACCGUAUUUUCUUUUCUAUUUCCAUCAGAAGUUCAGAUCUGAAGGCGAAUGCGUUUGUGAAAGGUGUGACACAAAAUCGGCGUCAAAUCGAUGAACUGGAGAGAUCUUCCUGCGUUGAUGGUGGUGAUUUGACGACUGAUGGAGUUCCUAUUGAUUUUUAUCUUAUUAGAUUUGUCAAAGGAUUAAGCUAUAUAUCCGACUAUGUCGCCUUUGAAGGAGAUUGUUGAUGGUAUUCAUAGUUUUGUGGCUAAGGUUGAAGAUGACCUUAAGGUAUCCACGGAAGCUUUUUCGCCCCUGGCCAUGGAAGAACUGCAUAUCUAGGGUUCCAGUGAACCAACUCUGCAACUCCAACUUCCUCUCUCCUAAAACCUCACUCUCUCUCCUCAACAAUGGCACGAACGAAGCACACCGCUAAGAAUUCCAUCGGAUGAAAAGCCAGACCGUUUCCCUUUCUUUGAGAUUUUAAAUUCUUAAUUGGAAUCUUCUCAAAUCUGCAUACAGAGUACUAGGAUCCCACCUACGGAACAAAACAAGAAAUUGAAAGGCAUGGGGAAGAAGAACGCGGAGUCAGGAUCUGCAGUUGGGAUGAGCAACUCUUUGAGUAAGGUAUUUCAUAGUUGUAGUGCAUGGCUGGAUAAGUUAAUGAAGCAUAAGCAUGGCUGGGUUUUUAAUACCCCUGUUGAUGUGAAGGCCCUUGGUUUACAUGAUUAUUUCACAGUAAUUAAGCAUCCAAUGGACUUGGGUACUAAUCUAAAUACCAACUGGUACAAAUAUCCCAAGGACUUGAGUUUGAUUGAUCGAAUUUAGGAAUUUAUAUUUUGGUACUAAGAGUUAGAUUCUUUGUCAUGUAAAGGCAUGAUUACUCGGUUUCACUAUUUAGAUGUAUAAUCGUAUAGUAUUAAUUUUUUAAAAUACGA